rnacentral:lncRNA from 1 species
GGCUGCAUGGCUGUUUUCUUGGGUUUCUCAGUGACCAUUGCUGGCUGGAAGCAGAACAGCACUGGCUGCUCAUAGGAGAUUCUCCUGAGAGUGGUCAAAUGAACGUUCCUCCCUCUGGUGCUAGUUGGAGGCAUCAGCAGAGUCAUGAAAUCUUUUAUUUGUUUGUUUGCAAAAUAAUCUUUUAUUAUUUGCAAUGUUCAUUUUUUAAAUUCACUUUAUAUCCUGAUUGCCUCUCCUCCUGUUGUUCUCUUUGCAUGGUCCCACCCUUCAUGCCCCCUACCCUUCCCCUUUGAGAGUAUGCCCCCUCCCCGUAUUCCCCCACCCUGCAGGGCUUGGUGCAUUCAUUCUCUCUCACAGAGGUCAGAUGAGGCAGCCCAGGUAGGGGGGUGGGUUAUUCAUGCAGGCUCCUUGCUUGCCUGAGAUUGCAGUCACCAUUUCAUGGGAGGUAAACAGUUGAUUAGGACAGAACUCUUGAUUCUUUAUAUGACAGUAGGUCUUUCUUCAGUCAUCCUGGUAGCAUGGCUGCCUGUGAUUCACCCAUGCCUUGUAAGUAGCCUCUCCAUAUUCAUUGACUCACCAGGCUUUGACUGAAUUCUCUUCUUGGAUCUGUCAGUGCCCUGCCUAUAUGGGAUAAACACAUAUAGCUUUACAGCUCCCAAGGAGGUCAUUGCAGCAACACUGUGUGCAUCUGUUGAACUACCUCCAUGAACCUCACUCAUGCAUUCAGUUCUAUGGAAGACUUUAUUUUAGGGAGGUUUCUUAGAGGAAACUAUACCUCCUCAAAAAUCCCAGGAGAUUCCUUGCCUACUGUCUCUUACAAGGAAACUUCCUGCUUGGCACGGGCUGAUAUUUUAGUUAGGGUUCCCAUUGCUGCAAAGAGACACCGUGACCAAUGCAACUCUUACAAAAGACAACAUGUAUUUGAGGCUGGCUUACUGGUUCUGAGGUUCAGUCCAUUAUCAUCAUGGCAGGAAGCAUGACAGUGUCCAGGCAGGGAUGGCAUAGGAGGAGCUGAGAGUUCUACUUCUUGUUCCAAAGGCAAACAGGAGAAGCCUGGCUUGUAGGCAGCUAGGAAGAAGGUCUCUGAAAGCCCACCCCCACAGUGAGCCUGCCAGCAAGCAGGAUUCCCAAGAGGGCUGAUGGGCAAGUAGUCAAGGUGGAACAUGUCCUUGUUUUCUUGGGGCCAGAAGACCAUGCUUCUUGGUGUUGCCAGAUCCUCUUCAUUGUUGUGCUCAUUUGAAGAAAGUCAGAGCAGGACGUCCAAGAGUGUCUGGAUAAGGAAACUACCCUGAACUCAGCAGCCUGGCCUUGCAGCUCAGCAAAGGAUAGACAGAGUAGACAGGAAGCAGGCCAAGCUUUAGUGUACUGAAGCCAGUGUGGAGCCCAGGGCUGGUCAUACCUAUACCUACCAACAACUUAACAGCUACAAAUCCACUGUAAACCAUGCUAGGUCAAAAGUAACUAUACAUGUUCUUUCAAGCAAAUUCCUGAAAGUUACGUGAGGAUUUUAAACACAUGUAGCGAGUAAACAGGAGUGAGGAGGCCAUUUGUACUGAUAUGUCAGGGAGGAUGAGUGGAAGCUUUCUGGACAUUGUCACGAAGGACUGUGAUGGCAGUAGCAGUGAAAAACCCACAUCGACCUUGAAUGAAAAAAAUGCAAGUGAAACUAAAAGCAUUUAAAACACCCAUGCAUUUUUAUGCAUGCACACAUUAGCCAUGGGCAUCUAUCAAGCCUGUCUCUUAGGCUGGAUACC